UGCGGCGGCCAUGGCCCAGGUGAGACGCCUGGUCCCAUUCCGAACCCGGAAGCUAAGGCCUGGCACGGCGAUGGUACUGCACCCGACAGGGUGUGGGAGAGUAGCACGCCGCCGCAC
rnacentral:rRNA from 1 species